AUGGAGAGCAGUCUGUUCCCAGAACUUUUUUGGAAAAAAGACAAGGACAACAAAAAGGAAGAAGGAAGAACUAGCCAUAAGAAAAGAAAGAGAGUCACGGAUGAUAAAGAUGAAAAGAACCUCUGGCGUGUAAAAUGUGGAACCAAAAAGGGUUGGAUGGAUGUAGAGAAGUUGAGAAAAGGUACGUGCAUACAGUCUUACCAGUCUUACCAGUCUUUCCUUUUCUAUGUUGUACAUACAGUGAAAUAUAUAAAUAAAUAAAUCAAUAAAUAAUUUUUCAUGAAAAUGAUUAAUUUUUUCUUUAUAACUAUAGGUAAGGAUUGUAUUGAGUUUGAAGGCUCCUUUUACAGUCCACCUGAGUUUGAGAAGCUUGCAGGAAAAGACUCAUGUAGAAAAUGGAAGUCAUCUAUUUACCACAAGAAAGCUCCUCUGCACUUUUGGUUCAAGGUACUUUUUUUUUUUUUUUUUUGCUUUUCUAUGAAUCUACAAAAAUCAGAUUUCACUAAAUAAACUGCUGAAUUAACUUAUCACAGAAAGGUUACCUAACCACUACAGGAUAUAGACAAAAGAAAAGAAAAAGACAAUCAUCAGACCUUGAGUCCCAGGAACUCUUCACAGGUUUGUCUGCUCUUUCUUCGAUCUGUGCCUCAAAACCAGAGAAUGUUUGAGAAUAUGAACCAAAAGCAUGCAAACAUUAUUAUAUUAUUUUUAAUAACCUCUUUCAAAACUUCAGUAGUUUUGACAAAUACCCUACAGGAGUUGAGAAAAAACAGAGUGUUUGCAUAGAAAAAAAACUCUAUUCUAUUCUAUUUGCAUAGAAAAACACUCUGUUGCAAUUCUCUGUAUCUAGGCCUUCAACUUUCCCUCAUCCAACGCCUGCAACUUGUCCAAAAUUACACGUCUUUUAAGCGGCACCAGAAGACAUAAUCAUAUUACAUCUGUCUUAGCCAACCUUCACUGGCUCCCUGUCAAAUACCGUAUCGUUUUUAAAAUCCUUUUGUACACUUUUAAAAUUUUACUUGGCGCCCAGCUACUUAACCCUAGAACACUAUCGCUAUAAAUAGUAACACAAUCACUAAUGCCGGGUGAUUUUUACCCGAUAUAAUAUAACCAAUAAAAAGUAAUCAAAUAUAUCAAAAUAUGACAACACAUGACAAAUUAGAGUGGUCGUCUUUUACUUUCAACUGUGCCAUGUCUAACAAAAUGAAAAAAAAAACCCUCCUAAAACAAAAUAAUGACUCUGGAAAGCUGGUCUUUGGUCCACCCAUUCCUGGGACAUUUGAGACUUCCCUGGUGAAGGCACAGGCUCCUUGACAUGCAAACAGCUGCAGGAGAGAGAAAUCAUGUAAAUGUAUUUGCUCGGGUGUAAAUCACCCGGUGAUAGUGUUCUAGGGUUAAUCGAUCUCCUUGACCUAUAUAUCCCCCAAGAGAGCACUUAGAUCCUCUAACCAAUGGCUCUUAGUGCAACCAAUUUCCAGAUGGAAGACUAGGGGGGGGGUUGCUUUUGCUAUUGCUGCACCUAAACUUUGGAAUAGCCUGCCGAUUGAUGUCCGUGCAUCGGAAUCCAUUCAAUAUUUCAAGUCACGUUUAAAAAUCCAGCUGUUUAAACUAGCCUUCGAAACAAAUUAGAUUUUAACUUCUACCUGGUUCGCGCUUGUGCCACGCCACUUACCUGUAAUUAUUCUGUAAUGAUAACUGUAUUUUCUUUGUUCUUCUAUUGUUGUAAUCCCGCAAUGCGGCACUUGUGUGGAAAUUGAAUUGAAGCUGAGAAAAAGUAACAAAAAUCUCAGUGUACAUUGUCUGUGAAGGUUCUCAGUCAUCCAGGUCAUCGUAGUCAAAGGAGUUUGCAAAGAAAAGCGUCUGGACUUCUUUAAGUUGCUUGAAGACGUUUCACCUCUCAUCCGAGAAGCUUCUUCAGUUCUAAGGUCAAAUGGCCGAGAGUCCCAGAUUUAAACCCAGUGGGAGUAUCCCCCCAAGGAGGGACAAAGGACCCCCUGGUGAUCCUCUAAUCACAUGCGCCAAGGUGUGAAAGCGGGUGUGGGACCUAAUCAGCCAGGGUUUCGGGUGAGCUCAUUGUGAAACCUGGCCCCACCUUGUCAUGUGAAUUCCUGAGGUCAGAUGGCCCAGGAUGUGAGUGGGCGUUAAGGCGUCUGGGGAGGGAACUCAAAACUGGAUUAUAGAUGGCAGACAGUUGGUGUCGUAA
ensembl:lncRNA